CCUACGGGGGGCUGCAGUGGGGAAUGUUGCACAAUGGGCGCAAGCCUGAUGCAGCCAUGCCGCGUGUGUGAAGAAGGCCUUCGGGUUGUAAAGCACUUUCAGCGGGGGGGAAGGCGGUGAGGUUAAUAACCUCAUCGAGUGACGUUACCCGCAGAAGAAGCAACGGCUAACUCCGUGCCAGCAGCCGCGGUAAUACGGAGGGUGCAAGCGUUAAUCGGAAUUACUGGGCGUAAAGCGCACGCAGGCGGUCUGUCAAGUCGGAUGUGAAAUCCCCGGGCUCAACCUGGGAACUGCAUUCGAAACUGGCAGGCUAGAGUCUUGUAGAGGGGGGUAGAAUUCCAGGUGUAGCGGUGAAAUGCGUAGAGAUCUGGAGGAAUACCGGUGGCGAAGGCGGCCCCCUGGACAAAGACUGACGCUCAGGUGCGAAAGCGUGGGGAGCAAACAGGAUUAGAUACCCGAGUAGUC
rnacentral:rRNA from 1 species